GAUGCUGGAUCCAGCGUGAUGACGCAGGUGGCUUACGUGAGAUGUACGUAAGGCACGUUGUGCAACCCUCGUCCUGCACGUUGACAUUGGGACAGUCCUCUCUUCACUCUCUCAGAGCGGGAUGGGAGCAUCUUACUCUACAAAUGCUGCUCCGACAGUCCGGGCCGAGGCCAUGAUGGCUGCUGCCCCCCCGCAGGGCUGCCCCAUGCACCAGGAAGCCCCGCCUGUCAAAGUGUCCCCCCCUGUAGAGUGUCCCAUGCAUCAAGCUCCUCCUGCAGUGCCCCCCCCUGCAGAGUGUCCCAUGCAUCAAGCUCCUCCUGCUAAAGCAGCGUCCCCCCCUCCAGAGUGUCCAAUGCACAAAGCAGAACCAGUACCGUCUCACCAGGAGAGAGCCUAUGAGUUUGUGCAGUGUCCCAUGAAGGGGGCGGAGGGCGGGAAGAGUGACAUCGACCCCUCCAACAUGAUGCCCCCACCUAACCAGACACCGGCUCCGGACCAGCCCUUCAGCCUGGACCUGGUGCGAGAGGAGUCGACCAUCCCCCGACACAACUCUGAGAAUAAGUGGGUGUACCCAUCGGAGCAGAUGUUCUGGAACGCCAUGCUGCGGAAAGGGUGGCGGUGGCGCGAGGACGACCUGGGCUCUCAGGAUAUGACUAACAUCAUCAAGAUCCACAACACCAACAACGAGCAGGCCUGGCAGGAGAUCCUCAAGUGGGAGGCCAUGCAUGCAGGGGAGUGUCCGUGUGGCCCCACCCUGAAGAGGUUCGGAGGGAAAGCCAAGGAGUUUUCCCCCAGAGCUCGCAUGCGCCACUGGAUGGGCUACGAGCUCCCCUUCGACCGCCAUGAUUGGAUCAUCGACCGUUGUGGGCGGGAGGUUCGUUACAUCAUCGACUACUAUGAUGGCGAGAUCAACACGGAGAAUUACCGCUUCUCCAUCCUGGACGUCCGCCCCGCCGUCGACUCUUUAGACGCUGUGUGGGACCGCAUGAAGGUCACCUGGUGGCGCUGGACGUCCUAGAUGAGACACCUGGGCGUCCUGAAGGAGACAUCGUGUGUCCUGGAGGACUGGGGGAGAAAGGAAAUGGACUAAGACAGUUAUGUGACGCUUCCUCUCUGUGGAGAGCUUUUCGGGUUUGAUUUGCAUAUUCUGUUUUCAUCUGCUGAUGUUCCUGUAGACUGUUGUAGCUUCAUCUCAUCUGGCAACUUCAAAUCCAUGAUCAGACUAAAGGUAGAGAGGUUCCAACAUGCAGAGCCCAGAGAAGAUGCAUCACUAUGGUUUAUGAUGGAUAACUCAAGACUGUUCACGUGGAAAUGAUCUAAUAAACUGAACAGUGAGAGGUAUCCUCCUGUGGGUGCAGUCCUGCAGCUGAACACCAGAGGGAGCUGUUACCCUAUAAUCCACAUCUGACUGCAGGGAAACAGCACCAUAAAGAACAUGUUAUUUAGUGUGAGGUCUGUUUCCUCUGUGGGAUGGACCCUCACUCUGCAGGAACACACAUUGCACAUGGUUUAGACAUCCUUAGAAACCAGAUCAACCUGCAGCAGUUCUUCAGGUUUACUUUACUGCUGUGAAAACGAGGCCUAUUUGUUUCUUAUUUUAAAUGCAUUUUAUUGUUCUGUAAAACGCCUUUGAGUUUUGAUAUCAAUUAAGUUCUAAUUUAAAUAUCCCAGCAUGCAUUUCACAUCUACAAUAAUUUUAUACAUGCAUUAAACUUCUCUACACAAUGCCUUUUAUUUAAGUAAUAUAUAUAAGUCUGUUCUGCUUCCCAGCUGCUCUCUGCUGUUACCUGGCAACUGCUGCAGGAAUCAGAAACUCUGAAACUGCAGAGCUAACUGAGAUAAAGUAAAUGAGACAUGAUGUGUUCAUUAUAUCAGCUCCUCUGAUCCGUGCAGGAGUGUCAUCCUGACAGAUGCACGCUGCUAAGUGAUAGAAGUCUGCACUGUGGACAACAGAGCGGCAGACAGGUCUGCUAAAUGAUGGUGGUUAAUUAUGAGACAAUGCUUUAAGGCUUCAUUUCUCUUCUGUCUCUUCUUUGCUACAUUUGCUCCUGACUUUAAGGAGUCCAAUCCUGCUGAUACAACCUGAACCAACCUGGAGACACUGCAGCUCGUAGCAGCGAACAGAGAGGAACAUCAGCAGAAGAUUAUAUAUACAUAAGUACAUUUUAUUCACCUUUAAAUAUGAGGGGGAACAGAGACACGUGUCUCUGCAAGCCUCACUAAUUCAGCCUCAUUGUGAAGCUCUAGAAACCUGAAUAAAGUCACUUUAUUUCAAACGUUUCAAUCUGAAA